AAAGCAAAAGGCUGUCCAAAAACAAACAAACGUUUACUUCAUAAAGGGCUUACGGUCCCAUCGAGACUUUGCAAGUGAUAUGUUAAAAUCUGGGGCUCAGCAUUGUAUAAUACAUCAUAAUACUCUUUCAUGCAGAGUUUCAAUUCCUUUAAAAGAAAGCUCUAUGAUCUGGAUUUCUAACUUUAUGAAUAUGGACAUCAAAAGGAGGCUGGAGCAAUUUACUUCUGCACAAAUGUGAAUGGCAUUGUACGUUUAGUGCAAUUGGGGUUACAUGCUUUUUGCCAGGCCAUAGAUAAGAACAGGUUCUACUAUUCAAAAUGAGUGGUUUUGGGGAACUAGCAUUGGCUGAACAGCUGUAUGGCAGAACUUGCGAGGGCUGCACUCCCAAGACCAUGCCUGUGCUACAGUCCUCACAAUAAAAGUUUUUUUGUUAUUACAAAAAGACCCUCACAUCCACUAAGAUAAUUUUUUCUAUUUUUUAUACAUUUACUAGCUGUGUCCAGCCACACAUUACUGUGGCAUAAUCAAUUGGCCACCUUGAUUACCGUGUAAUGGGCUUGUAGACUAAAAGUCUGGCUGAUUCCUCCCUGGGGGAUUCUUUUGUUGGGAGGUGUUAGCUGGGCUGAUUGUUUCCUGUCUGGAAUUCCCGUUUUCAGAGUGUUGUUAUUUAUUUACUGUCCUGGUUUUAGAGAUUUUUAAUGCUGGGAGCCAGGUUAUGUUCAUUUUCUAUGGAUUUCUGUAGGUUAGAAACAGGCAGGCAAGUGUGGUUGAUAUACCUGUGGAAUAAUAUCUAGUGUGGGAGAAAGAAGUCUUGUCUUUUGGAGGCAAGAAUGAAUGUUGUAUUUGGUCACCUUGAUUAGCUUUUAAUGGCCUUGCAGCUUCAAAGCCUGGCUGGUUCCUGCCUGGGGUAAUCCUUUGUUGGGAGGUGUUAGCUGGCCAUGGUUGUAUCCUUUCUUGAAUUUCCCUGUUUUCAGAGUGUUGCUCUUUAUUUACUGUCCUGAUUUUGGAGAUUAUAUUGUUCUGUAUUAUUAUAUCACAGUAUUUAUUAUAUAUUAUUAUAUUUAUAAUCUUAUUUUAACUGGAAAGAACUGGUUUCUAUGAGGCCGAUUCUACUCAGCUGUAUAAAUUCCACACAGAACUGGAUUAUAUGGUAAUGUGGACUCAAGAUUAUCCAGUUCUAAGCAGCGUUGCUGUGUCAUAGGAAGCAGCCUGGCUUUGAAGCUGCAAGUUUUUCAGUGUUAAUCAAGCUGGGCAACAAAGGGGUUUAUAUAUUUGUGGAAUGUCCAGUGUGGGGAAAAGAACUGUUGUGUGCUUGAGGCAGAUGUGAAUGUUGCAACUGAACUCCUUGAUUAGGAUUGAAUAGCCUGGCAGUCUCAAGGUCUGGUUGGUUAUUACCUGGGGGAAUCCUUUAUUGGGAGAUGUUAGCUGGCUCUUAUUGUUUCCUGUCUGGAAUUCCCAUUUUGGGCCCUCCAAGUGUUUUGGACUUCAACUCCCACAAUGCCAUAGAGCCUCCCGCUCUUUCCUUUUUCCUCUGGUCCUGAUGCUGUUAGGACUGCCUAAAUGGGCCUGCUUGUAAAAAGUUAUGCUGAUAGUCCUGGCAGUUGGAGAGGAGAUGUGGGUGAUUUAUCUUGCUGCAAAUGAGUCAGAAGGAGACAAACAGAAGAGGGGAAAAUUACAAAGAUUUCUAACCCUUGUACUUUUAGUAUACAUUAAUAUGUGGGCAAAACCCAAGCAUCUUACAGUCUGCUGCAAUUUUUAUUCCAAACAUACAAAAGGCCGUAGAUCUGGCCAAAACAGAUAAGAUCAAAAGCUUGGUAUGAUAUCGAAUAUUAAAUAUCAAUAUCUGAUCUGUUGUCAGAAUUUAGUUGUCAGUGUCUUGUGCAUGUGCAUAGAAAUUAUUGGUUUUUUUGCAGAAUAUAAACAUUCUGUUCAGGUUUGCAGCAGAGAAAUUACACACACCAUGCCACUGCCCAUUGUGUUGGUUUUUUGGGUAGUUAACUGUGUUGCAGUUUUGGUUUCACAUUCAGUUUUUCAUUUGAUUCCCACUGAACACAAGAGUUGCAGCACUAUCAAUACAGAUAGUCCCCAAGUUACAAAUAAGAUAGGUUCUGUAGGUUUGUUCUUAAAUUGAAUUUGUAUGUAAGUCAGAAUAGGUGCAUUUUUAAGUGUAAUAUAUACAUAUAUUAAGCUAGUAUAGGGAAGCGUUAAAUCUCCUGUGGGUUUUUUUCUUUUUGCCCCUGUUUAGGAAAUUUCACCUCACUUUCUAUCACUGUGAGAACUGGAUUUUGAAAAAAUUGGCUUGUUGUGGAAACAAGGAUUGGGGAUAAAACGUUAGUAGACACACCUUUUCCUCAUGAUCACUCUUCCAGCAGUGAAUUUCCCUGGGCUUUAGGCAGCAGUAACUGAAGAUGCUAAGGAUUGAACAUGGGAUCAUCUAUAUAUAUAAAAGGGUAAUGACAUUUUGGCCUAGGACAAAACAACAAAACUACACAUCCCAGAAACACUAAACUUGGCAGCACAACCCCUCAUCCAUGCCUCUACAUUCAUACAACAAAAAGAAAAGAAAAAUAAAGUCCUAAUUAGAGGGAGAAGAAUAAUUGUUUUUAUCCAAUUGCUGCCAGUUAGAAGGCUAAGCUCCGCCCACUUGGUUUCCUAGCAACCCACUCAGCCCAGGGGACAGGCAGAGUUAGGCCUCACUUAGGCCUCUUCCGCACUGCCUAUAAAAUACAGAUUAUCAGAUUCUAACUGGAUUACAGUAUAUGGCAGUGUAGACUCAAGGCCCUUCCACAUGGCUCUAUAACCCAUUUAUAAUCUUAUAUUAUCUGCUUUGAACUGGAUUAUCUUGAGUCCACACUGCCAUAUAAUCCACUUCAGUGUGCAUUUUAUAGAGGUGUGUAGAAGGGGCCUCAUAUAAUCCAGUUCUAAGCAGAUAAUAUAAGAUUAUAAAUAUAAUAUGUAAUAAUAACUAUGAUAUAAUAAUACAGAACAAUAUAAUCUCUAAAAUCAGGACAGUAAAUAAAGAACAACACUCUGAAAGCAUAAGCCACAGCAACGCGUGGCCAGGCAAAGCUAGUCUGCAUAUAAAGUAUUGUGUUGCCAUUGAAGUUCAGCUCCUCAUCCGCCACUAGCUCUUUAAGAGACAGCUAGAGAGAUUUCACAGUUCAGAACUAGCACAUGUUGAUCCACAAAAGACCUUCAAGCCAAAAGAGAUUAAGUUCUUGACCUAAUCACAGUAAUUAUGCCUGAUUAUGCAUAUGGAAAAGCAGAGUUAUGAAUUCAAUCAAACAAAACUGAGCAAAGAUUCCUAGCAUUGUAUAAAGGAAGUGACAAUCUUUUGUCUGUGUAAACAAUUCAAAUUCCAAAUGAUUUUUUUGUAAGAAGAUAGUUUUCAGUGCCUUACAAGAUGUGCAAUUGUGGCAAAAGUACAUGUCCACUAGGACAGUGUUACUUGGAGUGGUGGUCAUGUACACAUGCUGAUUCAUAAACCAUUGACAGUUAAUCUGCAGUGAGUUUCUAGAAAAGGGGAAAACACAAUAUCAUGUAAUUGGUAGACAGACAGCGGGAAAAACAAGCUGCUGGCCACCAUGUUAGAUAGCUUAAGGCCCCAUCUACACUGCCACAUAAUCCAGUUUCAGAAAACAGAUUUGCUGCUUUGAACUGGAUUGUAUGAGUCUACACUGCCAUAUAAUCUAGUUCAAUGCAGUCAAUCUGCAUUCAGAAACUGGAUUAUAUGUCAGAGUAGACAGGGCCUAAAAUGCACUGCAUUAGGGUGGUCUGGUUUAGGAAAAAGGAUAUUUCUCUCGCACCUUUAGUAAUUGUGCACAAGAAGGAUAUUAGCAAGUGUAGCUUGAGUUCAUCAAAGCUAAUUAAUACUGGAUCAGAGCACGAUUCUUUGGUUAGCAUCUUCCUAUUUCCAUGUCCAAACUCUUUUUUAAAAAAUCUUAGAAAGUGGAUUAUUUUGAUUUUGAAAUUACAUUUUAAUAAUUUCUCUGUACCAUUAUUUGUCAUUACCUUUCUAAGCUGCAGGGUUGCUACUUCUUCACUGUAUGAGAUCCUACCCAUAGAACAAGUCUUCUACAAACAUGUACAAUCCCUGAUUAAUAUGGAGUAGGUUCAUGUAACACUGAGGUGUAUGGGUCAGAGAGAUUGAUCUCAUCCCAGCUCAGCAAUAAUAUUUAUCAGAACGUAUUGACUAAUGCUGUAGAGAGAGGAGAGGGAGGAGAAGAUCAAACAAUGGAAGCAGAAGCAUGAAAUCAUAGAUUAUAAGAACAGUUGUUGAAUAGGGAGGUGGUGAAUAGACAAGGUGUGCCUUCAUUGAAUGUUGCAAUCCACUACCUACAGAUACUGGAAAGUUUCAGGUUGAGUAAAUCAUGUUUCUGAUAGGAAGAAAAAGAGUUUGGAAAACCUAAAAUGGUUGCAAUUGCUAAAACAUCAUUUGCCUCUUGGAAAAAAGAAGAUAUAAGUCUAACAGUAAAAAGUUAUUGUUUCCUGACACAUCUGACCACUAUGGAUGAGCUCCUUAAAAUGCAAGGGUAUGGGGUGUGUAUUGAAUCAGUAUAGCUGCAGCAGAUAGGACAGGUAAAUGUAAUUCUUUCCCUUUGUUAUUUGUUUUGGUAAGAAAUCCCUCAUUUGACUGAAGUGGUUGGGACUCAUUCUCAGCAGAAGAUACAAUGUUUUGUUUUAGUGAAUUAUUAAGAGUAGGUCCAUAACACAAAAUAAUUUAAAUUCAACGACUCAUUCUAUAUUUUAUAUAGACUAAAUUAAAUCAAAUUUAUAUUUAAGUUACAAAGUUUUAAGUCUUAAAAAACCUGAAAAUGACUCUUAAUUGGCAAUUUAGUGGUUACAAAAACUGUCAAUACAAUUUGAUAGAUAUCAGGCUCAAUUAAAUAAACUUCAGUGGACACCCAAGAAUGCAAGUCCAGUCAAUCUUUCUUGCCCCAUUGUGCUUCUUAUCUAUGUUUUCAAACUUUUAACAGUUGAAAAUGACCUUUCAUUUGUAGCUGUUAACACUGGCAAUGUUGCAGAUAUCCAAAGAAGUUUUUUGACAUUCGGGAAAAAAGCUGUCUAUGACAGACAAGGUGUGGGUUUCUUGCAGAUGUAAUAUUUUUCCAUUUUCUACCCCACAGGUCAAACUCUUCCAACAGUGUGUCAGUAUCUUGAACGCAUUCACUGUAAAGUUCUGUGCAUUUGCUCAAGUUAGAUUUUAAAUGGCCACAAUUAAUAGGGAGGAACUUUCCUGUGACUUGUAAACCAUUCUUGAAGCUGAUUGCAAAAAAAGUCCAGACAUGGGAUAUACAGUGUUCCCUCACUACUUCACAAUUCACUUUUCGCUGAUUUGCUGCUUUGUGGUUUUUCAAUAAACUCUAAAAUAAUAUUAUAAAUCAUAAAAAUUUACAAUUUACAGCCUAAGGAAGGGAGGAAGGAGAAGCUGAAGGGCGAGAAAAGGAGCCCAAGCGGCAACAAGAUGAGAAGGAGGCGAUUUAUCAACACACGAUUGGUUGAUAAAGACUUAAAAUAGUGUAUAACUACUAAAAUAAUGUAUAAAUAUUAAAAUAAAUAUAGUGUCCUACUUCGCAGAUUUUCACUUAUCCCCCACGAUAAGUGAGGGAACAUUGUACACAUUUAGCCUAUAAUAUUCCAUUGGUUUUGCUGAGAAGCCACUCUCGUUGUGUUUAUCACACCACUGCUGGGACCUCACUCUGUGAAGACUGUGUGUUGACCGGCCGUGCACUGACCUCCACACAUUAACAAAAAUCACACACAGGCGUCUUCCAAGAAAUGGAGAACCAUCAACCUCAAACUACGAGGGAUCGCCUAAUGGUGUUGGUGAAGGUGCCUGCAUGUUGCUUUUACAUGGCUGUCUUGAACAGAUGUAAGGAAUCCUAACUUCUCCACCACUGAACUUGCUGUGUCUCCUGAAAUUCUUUCACAGAUUCUAUGCACAUCUCUCUGGCCUUUUCUACGAGACCGCUGACGUGUUACAGGCUUCAGAAAAAGUCCAUAUCUACUUUUCAUAAUGUUUUGCUAAGCUGAAGGGAUGAUGACAGAAGUUUUCUUGGGAUGUGUAUGGUUACUACAAAUUCGGCAUUCAGAACAGCUAAAAGAAGGUGUCCAGCUUGGGAAGAAGUCUCACUGUUGUAUAGAUGAUUCUCUGUUAGUUCAAGUGUUCUCACCACCACACUGUACAGUUCAACAAGACAUAAAACUACAUCAUGUUGCCAACCCAACGGGAUUCACAUAGCGGCAACAGGUUGUUUGGUCUUGAUUCAGGAAAACAGUUUUUUAUAUUUUUCUUCAACAGUUCCAGUCUUAUGGAUGAUGCUCUGAAGAAAUUGCAUGCAGAUGGUAUUGUUCAUUGGCAGUUUAGACAGGUGGAAUGCCUCAAGUCUUUGCUAAGGCUAGAUUUAGUUAGUGAGCACUGCAAUGAACCCAUACCCCCCCCCCCCCGACACACACUACAAGCUUGAAAACUUGGUUUUCCAUGAUUAUGUUCUCAAAAGCCUAAUGUAAAAUAAAUUCUUUCUUCUAGAAAUAAGGACUAUAGAAAAACAAAUUAAGAGAGAAAAAAUAGAUAGAAAUGUGACUGGCCACAGAACUGUGAAAAUAGCCGAAGUUACGUAUUUUUGAACUGGCCAUCUUAGCCAAGAGCCAAGACCAUAGCUGUUAAUGGGAUAGAAUUGUCUUAAUUGCAACUAUACUAUACUUUCAUUAUUUGCAAGAUAAGCAUUUAUAUUGUUUCAGACCAUCCAAGGUUAUGCAUAUUCAAUUAAUAUUUUUAAAUUAACAAUUCACUAGCAGACAAAUGCACAUAAACCAGCAGAAAUGAUAUGACUAAUAAGGUAGCUCUAGAAAAUGAAUAUUAGCCUAGUUUUUCAAAGUUAUUCCCAUUGAAUCAAAUCAGUAGGAUGAAAUACUAUAAAAGGAUUUUCAUCUAUUUUACUUGAAAUCCAUUUAUGAGCAAAGAUCAUUCCUCUUCCUCAAAGAUAAUAUGAAGUUAUUAAUUAAAAACUCAAGUCAAAUUGGAAACCUGUGUUUAUUAACACAAUAAUCACAUGUGAUCAAAAUAUCUCUGAUAAAACUGUUUCAGAUAAUGCAACAACAGAUAAUGAAGUUGUUCUAUCAGAAAAAUGAAUGUACCUCUAAAAUGAAUUAGCCACAUGCUCCAUAUGGUUCUGGCAUUUUAAUUAUGAUUAUUAAAAGAAGCAAAAUAAUACCCUUCCUUGUGAAUGGUGUGCUCUGACUAAAGGAAGUAAAUUUUAAAAGAUCAUUGGCAGUGACUACUAAUGUCUUAGGAACUGCACUGAAACCAUAUUUAAUUUGGUUUCUUUGUUUUUAAAAUGUAUGAGGAGAUUGUGCAUACUGUAAUUAUACAAUUAGCAUAACUAUUCUGCAGUUAUAAUUCAAAGAUUCUGUGACAUGUAAAUGUUGAUGAACUUUUUCUGCUUUAGACUUUUUAGGUAAGGAAUACUCAGAACUGGUUUGGGCUAUUCCUUCUUCUGAAAUAUAACUUACAGCACCUGGUUUUCAUUGGCAGUUUCUCAUCCAACUAUUAAAUAUCGUCGAUCCUGCUUAGCUUCCAAGAUCAGAUGGGAUCUGGUGACUUUAAAAGAGAGGAGGACUGGACUGUGCUAGAAUCAUAUAGGGGUUUAUAGAUAUGUAUAUGUAUAACAAUACCCUUGAAUUGGACCCAACCAUGAACCAACAAAGUGCAACUUUUUUUGUACCGGCUGUACUUUCCAUACCAUCUUUUUAAAAGGCAGAAAAUAGGAUCUGAGUAAAAGACAUAGAGACUGUUUGUUCCAUUUAUUGAUUUCCCACAGACUACCCUGCUUGGAUAACAAACUGUUUUGUCAUGACACUUUUUAUUGUAAAACAUGCCCUUUGAUCCUAUCCCAGGCCCCAGGUGGUGAAUUUGAUUGAGGUUUUUAAACAAUUGUCCUUUUUGCCAAAGAUUUGCCCUUUGACCUACGAGUGUUGCUCAGAAAUUCCCCCAAGGUACACUUUAGAGUCAGCUAGAUUUAUAUUAUUGCUUUGUCUCUAAGGCUAAGCCAGGGUUGGUGUUAGAAUUGCUGGGUGGCUUUGGAAUGCAAUACAGACAUCUACUCUGGUUUAUUAAUCCUCUGAUGUUAAGCAUUUCAACUUCUUUUAGAAGUUCAGAAAAUUGUUGCUUAACUGUAAUUUUAAUAAUUAGCCACACACAAAAGACCUCCCCGCUCACAAGAAACAAAGCCUCCUGUGUAGUCUGAAAUUGCCUCUUGUUUUCAGGAACCCAGGUACAGCCUUUGAUUUAAAGACUUUUGAUUGAUUCUUCUAUUAUAGCACAAUUCUGACUCAUUGAUUUGUCAUCCAAGGUCCAUUAAAAUAACCUAGAUGUCUCCCAUUGCCAGUGAAUGUGCUAUUACUGCCCAGAACACAUUUCAGGAAGGCCACUUAGACCCCUCCUGUGAUGAAGCUCAAACUUGGAGAAAUAUUUUUGGACUAGAACUCCCAGAAGACUGCUUGCAGGUUACUGCAAGUCUUUCUCAAAAACAAAACUAUAAAAUUCCAGCCCAGAUGAAACACCAUAUGUAUGCUGUUAGCAACACGUGCAUGCCUGUACUAAAAAAAGCUCACAAAAUGUGUUUUGUGCAGUCUGGUUAUCUAAUAAAGGUAUUGCUCUUU